rnacentral:rRNA from 1 species
UACGUAGGGGGCAAGCGUUGUCCGGAAUCAUUGGGCGUAAAGCGCGUGUAGGCGGCUAGGUAAGUCUGCUCUGAAAGCCCGGGGCUCAACCCCGGGAGGCGGGUGGAUACUGUCUAGCUCGAGUCCGGAAGAGGAGUGUGGAAUUCCUGGUGUAGCGGUGAAAUGCGCAGAUAUCGAGGAGGAACACCAAUGGCGAAGGCGACUACUGGACACAUAAUUGACGCUGAGGUGCGAAAGCGUGGGGAGCAAACAGG